rnacentral:rRNA from 1 species
CCUACGGGAGGCUGCAGUGAGGAAUAUUGGUCAAUGGGCGCGAGCCUGAACCAGCCAAGUAGCGUGAAGGAUGACUGCCCUACGGGUUGUAAACUGCUUUUAUAAGGGAGUAAAGUCAGGCACGUGUGCCUUUUUGAAUGUAUUUUACGAAUAAGGAUCGGCUAACUCCGUGCCAGCAGCCGCGGUAAUACGGAGGAUCCAAGCGUUAUCCGGAUUUAUUGGGUUUAAAGGGUGCGUAGGUGGUUAAUUAAGUCAGCGGUGAAAGUUUGUGGCUCAACCUUAAAAUUGCCGCUGAAACUGUUCGACUUGAGAAUAUUUGAGGUAGGCGGAAUGCGUGGUGUAGCGGUGAAAUGCAUAGAGAUCACACAGAACUCCGAUUGCGAAGGCAGCUUACUAAACUAUAACUGACACUGAAGCACGAAAGCGUGGGGAUCAAACAGGAUUAGAUACCCGGGUAGUC